rnacentral:rRNA from 1 species
AGCGGCAGGCUUAAUACAUGCAAGUUGAGGGGCAGCAUGAUAUACGCGAGUAUAUUGAUGGCGACCGGCGGACGGGUGAGUAAUAGGUAGGAGACCUACCUCAUACAGGGGGAUAGCAUAGAGAAAUCUGUGGUAAUACCCCAUGAGGUUAUAUGAAUAGAGGCAUAUAAUCAAAGCAUAAGCGAUUAUGCGGUAUGAGAGGGGCCUACUGACCAUUAGCUAGUUGGUGAGGUAAGGGCUCACCAAGGCGAAGAUGGUUAGGGGUUUUGAGAGAGAGAUCCCCCACAUUGGAACUGAGAUACGGUCCAGACUCCUACGGGAGGCAGCAGUAGGGAAUAUUGGGCAAUGGGCGGAAGCCUGACCCAGCCAUGCCGCGUGAAGGAAGACGGCCUUAUGGGUUGUAAACUUCUUUACUAUGCGACUAACUAGAUUUACGAGAUAAUUCUAUAGAAUGUAGCAUAGCAAAAAGCACCGGCUAACUCCGUG